AAAUACUUGCUUCUUUUGGUAUUUGUCUAGUAGGUUUCCUCAAAGAAGAAGCCCCC
ensembl:snRNA U7 U7 small nuclear RNA